rnacentral:tRNA from 1 species
UGUUUUAUAGUGUAAGAUGCACUCGAAAUUUUGAUUUUCGGCGAUUAAGUUUAAUUCUUAUUAAAACAA